ACUUUAACAUGGAGGUGCUUUCUGUGACUUAAAAGAAGUAAGUGCUUCCAUGUUUUAGUAG
rnacentral:pre_miRNA from 1 species